rnacentral:rRNA from 1 species
UACGUAGGGGGCAAGCGUUGUCCGGAAUUAUUGGGCGUAAAGAGCGCGUAGGCGGUCCGAUAAGUCGGCUGUGAAAGUCAGGGGCUCAACCCUUGAAAGCCGGCCGAUACUGUCGGACUAGAGUCCGGAAGAGGCGAGUGGAAUUCCCGGUGUAGCGGUGAAAUGCGCAGAUAUCGGGAGGAACACCAAUUGCGAAGGCAGCUCGCUGGGACGUUACUGACGCUGAGACGCGAAAGCGUGGGGAGCAAACAGG